UUGAACUAACCAGUAAGGCACUUCCUGUUAGCAACCAGUUCAUGACGCCUGUGCGGUAUCUAUGGAGCCGUAGACAACCGUUCUCGCUCUUCUUCAUCGGCUUAGCACGUCGAAAAAACGUAAAGCUGACAACAAACUUCUAGAGACUUGUUUUGUAAAUCGGUGCUUGUUCCUCGGCGUUAUCUGGAAGCGUUUACAUAUUUAUUUUGUGCAGAUCAAGCUAGCCAGGCUAACUUUAUUAACGGCAGGCCGGGAGCUUAUAUUACGGCAGCGUUAGCUAGUUAGCUCGCUUAUCCACAACACGAAGAGCCUUUCUAAAUCGACCUUUCUAGACUGCCGCCAUGAGCGAACAACUGAAGUUCAUCGUCGAACAACUGAACAAGGAGCCCUUCAGGAAGAACUUCAACCUCAUCACGUUUGAUUCCCAGGAGCCCAUGCAGCUCCUGCAGAUCCUGAACGACGUUCUGGCUGAAAUAGACCCAAAGCAAGCCGUAGAUAUCCGAGAAGAAAUGCCGGAGCAGACCGUGAAGAGGAUGUCCUCCAUGCUGGGGAUGCUGAAGUACAAGCCUCCUGCCACCCUCUCUGAUGUGUUCUUCAAAAUAUUGAACGGGCACAAGAAAGACAGCAGAGGACUUUUGGGUACCGGAAAUGCAAGUUUACCCGUGUCACAACAGCUGAGGCUGGGGAUGAAUGCCUGAUUUGAGGGGCUUCAAAAAGGCCACGUACACGGGACACAUUGACCAGCCAGCACAGAGGACCUUACAUCAUUGGAAACAUUACAACAAAAGGAGUGGCCACUGUGAUGAAGGAUCUACCUCCAUGAAGGCCAAUGUGUCCAGACUGAGGCCCUAUUAUAGGUUAAUAAAUGAUUAACUACCUGAGGGCAGCUUCUCAAGGACCAUGAAUACUCCUCAAGGAACUGGCAGCUGGAGCAUUCCUAUUGUUCUUCUGGAGGAAAGUGGGAACCGGAUGUAAACCCAGUUCAAGAGGCUCUUCUAACUUACAUAUUGGACCAUGCAGGAUCGUUCACCUAUUGAACUAAUUGUGAAGGAGGGAAGUAUGUGCCUGACACGGGAGGAUUUCUGGUCCUUGGGGUUAAAUCAGUGCAUGGAAUUAAAUACUGGAAAUGCUUGCCUGAAAAUAGUGGAGGAAACAGCAAAAAGAUGUGUAAUUAAAUUGCCUAGAUCUUUGUUUUUAAGCCUUAUGAACCAAUCAAAAUACUUAACAUAAUUCUUUGUUUCCAUAAGGGAAGAGAAAUAUAUAUCUUCGAUUUGUAUGUGGUGCCCCUGUGGAAGGCAGAAGAUGUUGAUCCUUUGUGUUCAUUGCCUGUUCUACUGGUAAAACAGAGAGAGUUAGUAUUUCUUGACUCCCUUUGACCUGAUGGCACAUCAACCCCAUUUACCUUUUCCCAGUGGGAGAUGCCAAGCAUUCGCUGUUGGCGGUCCCUCCAGCUAAUGGAGAGGUUUAGCAUUGAAGGCAUGGACAUCGAUUUACUCACUGGACAGAAGAAUCCUCCCAUCUUCCUUCAAGAAUCCUGGAACCGGUCUUCAGGGUUCCAAAGUCCACCAGUGCAGAAACCUCCCCCAGAAACGGUGAUGGUGGAGAGGGCAGUGGGACAGAAACAGAUCAUGAGGGACUUGCAUAAAGCAUAUGGGACUGGAUACCAGCACAAGGCCUUAUUCCAUGGGGAAAUAGAAGAGCCUGAAGUGUUCCAGAUGAGCAAGCCCAGGCAGAAAAUGGCCCUUGAAGAAUACAGUUCUUCAAAGCAUCCCUUCUUGAUUUCCUUCCAGUGUCAGGAAGACAUGGAAAUGUUUUAUAUCAACUGUGUUGAUGUAAAGGAGCUAACGGUCAAUGCCAUGUUUUGCGAACAUAGUUCUUAAGAUGUUUGUACAGUCAGUUUUCAAUAUGUUUUUUAAGUUUUCUCUCUCUCUCUGGAUUCGUUUUUUUCCCCCCCCGCUCAAUUUUUCUAACUACAACCCAUUUUAUCCUUACAAGUAUUUCAUGUAGGUUUAAUACCUAGUAAAAGUUUUUUCUCACCUGUUCUAAUUGUAUUUGUGUGUAUAGUUUGGGGGUAGUAGGAAAUGUGGACAUGAGAAUUUUGCUGUUACAUUUUUUUAUUUUCUGAGUUUUCUAAUAUCUCUAAAGGAUAUUAGAGCAAGAUAUUUUCUUUAGAUGAAAAGGUUAAGUAAUAAGCAAUGAUUUGUUUUUGUUUUGUUUUUUGUUUUGUUUUUUGCUUUUUUAAUAGCAAAAA